GACGAACGCUGGCGGCGUGCUUAACACAUGCAAGUCGAACGAAGUGGCGAACGGGUGAGUAACGCGUAAUCAACCUGCCCUUCAGAGGGGGACCACAGUUGGAAACGACUGCUCAUACCGCAUACUGAAGGAGGGGAUUGCGUCUGAUUAGCUCGUUGGAGGGGUAACGGCCCACCAAGGCGAUGAUCAGUAGCCGGACUGAGGGGAUGAACGGCCAAAUUGGGACUGAGACACGGGCCAGACUCCUACGGGAGGCAGCAGUGGGGAAUCUUCCGCAAUGGGCGAAAGGCUGACGAGGCAACGCCGGGUGGGUGAUGACGGCCUUCGGGUUGUAAAGCUCUGUUAAUCGGGACGCGGUACCGGAAUAGAAAGCCACGGCUAACUACGUGCCAGCAGCCGCGGUAAUAC
rnacentral:rRNA from 1 species